rnacentral:rRNA from 1 species
UACAGAGGGUGCGAGCGUUAAUCGGAAUUACUGGGCGUAAAGCGCACGUAGGCGGCUUGGUAUGUCGGGUGUGAAAUCCCCGGGCUCAACCUGGGAACUGCAUCCGAAACUGCCUUGCUCGAGUAUGGGAGAGGGAAGUGGAAUUUCCGGUGUAGCGGUGAAAUGCGUAGAUAUCAAGUGGAACACCAGUGGCGAAGGCGAGUCCCUGGACGACUCCUGACACUGAGGCACGAAAGCUAGGGGAGCAAACAGG